rnacentral:rRNA from 1 species
AUUGAACGCUGGCGGCAGGCCUAACACAUGCAAGUCGAGCGAGCGGCGGACGGGUGAGUAAUGUGUGGGAAACUGCCUGAUGGAGGGGGAUAACUACUGGAAACGGUAGCUAAUACCGCAUACCAUCAGAUGUGCCCAGAUGGGAUUAGCUAGUAGGUGGGGUAACGGCUCACCUAGGCGACUAUCCCUAGCUGGUCUGAGAGGAUGACCAGGCAAACUUGAACUGAGACACGGUCCAGACUCCUACGGUCGGCGGCAGUGGGGAAUAUUGCACAAUGGGCGCAGGCCUGAGGCCUCCAUGCCGCGGGUGGGAAGAAGGCCUUCGGUUUGUAAAGCACUUUCAGCGGGGAGACGUUACCCGCAGAAGAAGCCCCGGCUAACUCCGUGCCAGCAGCCGCGGUAAUUC